UACGGAGGGCGCUAGCGUUGUUCGGAAAUACUGGGCGUAAAGCGCACGUAGGCGGCGCAGCAAGUCAGGGGUGAAAUCCCGGGGCUCAACCCCGGAACUGCCUCUGAAACUGCAGUGCUAGAAUCUUGGAGAGGCGAGUGGAAUUCCGAGUGUAGAGGUGAAAUUCGUAGAUAUUCGGAAGAACACCAGUGGCGAAGGCGACUCGCUGGACAAGUAUUGACGCUGAGGUGCGAAAGCGUGGGGAGCAAACAGG
rnacentral:rRNA from 1 species